UACGUAGGGUGCGAGCGUUAAUCGGAAUUACUGGGCGUAAAGGGCGCGUAGGCGGCCUGUUAAGUCGAACGUGAAAUCCCUGGGCUCAACCCAGGAACUGCGUCCGAUACUGGCAGGCUUGAAUUCGGGAGAGGGAUGCGGAAUUCCAGGUGUAGCGGUGAAAUGCGUAGAUAUCUGGAGGAACACCGGUGGCGAAGGCGGCAUCCUGGACCGAUACUGACGCUGAGGAGCGAAAGCGUGGGGAGCGAACAGG
rnacentral:rRNA from 1 species